rnacentral:rRNA from 1 species
CUUUAAAUGGUCCCGUAGCUACGGGUCAGAUAUAAAAUUGUACGGGCCGUGGCCGAUGCAUCACCUUCCGGAUUUUGCGGGCAUUAGAGGACAUGCACAUCGUAAUAACCACGAUGUCAGAAUAAGGGAGGUGCAUAUGGGGCAUGGCAAGUGGGCAGCAGUGGAGGUGGAGACGUGUGGGCGUCAGAGAGUGGCGUAGAGGCCGCUGGUGGCUGGUGGGGGCCGGCGGCGAUGAGGAAGGGAGAGGACACUACCGCGGCGCGCGGCCGCCAGUCUGGAUGCCGAAGGGCUACAUGACGCGGAGGACCGAGGGUGAGCGUGUGUAGUAGUUCGGGAGGGGUAGGCGGCUGCAGCAGCACCUACGCCUGCGCAGGGGCCGGGGCAGGAGGGGUGGAGGCGCGGGGUACCACCAGGAACCACCUCCGCCUCCGCUCCCGGCCUCGCCGCACGGGUUGCGCGACCAGCAGCGGCGGGAGCUGGGGCGGCGACGUCCCCGCGGAGGUCGCGAGAGGGGGCUCGGGCACUUGCUGGGCACGGGGGAGCGAGAGACUAAAGUGAUCUAGGUAUGCCUAGUACCCUCUCUAAAUGUACGACUAAACAACGACAACAAAACUACUACCACCCCACGUCCACAAAUCCGACCCCUGUCUCCUCGUCCAUGGUAUGUCCUACCGGCAUGUGGGGGCGCCGCUACCGCAGGAGACGCGGAAGGGGUUGCCGACGUCCAACCACGCCACCCUUAGUGGUCUUCCUCUACUAGGUGUAUCGGAUCAAAACUCUAGCCUGGUCCUCCGAGAUCACUUCGAUUUGCUACAACCAAAUGUCAACCGACACAGUAAGUCACCUCUCCCAAGUUAUGAACGGUGACCACCGCUCCUACCUGUAAACUCCCAGAAGUUUACCGGACCGUACCUUUGGCAAUAACUUCUUGGACUACGACUUUGUAGACAAUUCCUAGAAUCAAAGUCAAGGCUACUCUACAAAGAUCAACACUUGUCCUCGUCGCCGGGUAGAUCUCAAACCCUAAAUUUCAGUAGACUUCGACACCGAUUAGACGGUUCUCUUGUUCCUCUUUAUAAACCGAAGACGGCUAAAAGAUGAUUCAGACUGUUAUCAGUCUAAGAGAAACAAUGUCGUUACGUUCCACUAAUGCCGUUUUAUUAUAGAACCUUAUGGUGGAGUACCUGUUCUUAACCUAGUUUCUUUCAUUGAGCACUACGCUAAAGUCGAAAAAGUCAGAGCGGACUACCGUGUGAAGAUCGUUAACCUUGAUAACUCCCUUCGUAGUCACAAGAUCCAAGUUCUCUGUACGCUCACCAAGAUUGUCAAUUUUUCCGCGUAGAACCGUAACAAUGAUGCAAUCGCAAAAGAGUUCUAAGUUCCCGGAACGACAGCUGAAGGAAACUGAGUUGACGUUCCCACUGUAGCUGACUUAGUGGGUUCUCGCUACCAUAUUCGGAGACCAGGUACCAUGAUCGAUAAUAUGAGCCUUAAAACCAUAUAAUGAUAUACGUCGUGUUUCUUUUGAAAAUCGUUACAACGGUGUUACUUUAAAAACAAGUCGGAGAUGACGAUGGAGUGGCGAAUGGAGACACUAAUAGACUAGAACAUGACCUCUAUUUACGACAUAGCACAGCCUCGAUCUCGUUAAAAACAUGAGGGAGGCAAGGAUUUAUAAACAGAAAAAUCUCUAAAGUUUACCUGAUAGUGUAUGCCUACAUAUAUCUGUAUAAAAUCUCACAUCUAAGUGAGUAAAACGGGGCAUACAUCAGUGAACAACUUUAAAGAUCUUUCUGUUUAUAAAUCCUUGCCUCCCUCAUGAAUAAAUCCACUUUCUUUUUGAUGAGUUUUUGCAGGUCUAGGAAAAAUAGUACAGUGCGACCAUCCCACGCACUUCACCACUACCACCACACACCGCGACCUACCACUACCUCCUUCACCACCGCGACCUACCACCACCUCCACGGCCAUCGCGCGGCGGUGCGGCCGGACCGGUGCCGCCACCGGCCUCCACCUCUUCCUUCAUUCUC